rnacentral:rRNA from 1 species
CCUACGGGUGGCUGCAGUGGGGAAUAUUGCACUAUGGGGGAAACCCUGAUGCAGCGACGCCGCGUGAAGGAAGAAGGUCUUCGGAUCGUAAACUUCUAUCAGCAGGGAAGUAGGAAGUGACGGUACCUGACUAAGAAGCCCCGGCUAACUACGUGCCAGCAGCCGCGGUUGUACGUAGGGGGCAAGCGUUAUCCGGAAUCACAGGGUGUAAAGGGUGCGUAGGCGGUAGGGCAAGUCAGAUGUGAAAGUCCGGGACUCAGCCCCGGGACUGCAUUUGAAAAUGUCUUUCUAGAGUGGAGGGGUGGAAAUCAGAAUUCGUAGUGGAGGGGUGAAAUCCGUAGCUAUUAGUAAGAACACCAGUGGCGAAGGGGGCUUUGUGGACUGUAACUGGCUCUGAGGCACGAAACCGUGCAGAACGAACAGGAUUAAAUACACCGGUAGCC